ACGAUGAGUGCUAGUUGUCGGCAUGCAUGCAUGUCGGUGACGCAGCUAACGCAUUAAGCACUCCGCCUGGGGAGUACGGUCGCAAGAUUAAAACUCAAAGGAAUUGACGGGGGCCCGCACAAGCGGCGGAGCAUGUGGCUUAAUUCGACGCGACGCGAAGAACCUUACCAGGGCUUGACAUGCGGGGUGAAGCCGUAGAAAUACGGUCCUCCUUCGGGAGCCCGCACAGGUGCUGCAUGGCCGUCGUCAGCUCGUGCCGUGAGGUGUUGCCUUAAGUGGCGCAACGAGCGCAACCCCUGUCCCAUGUUGCCAGCGGGUAAUGCCGGGGACUCAUGGGAGACUGCCGGUGCCAAACCGGAGGAAGGUGGGGAUGACGUGUCCUUGAUAGG
rnacentral:misc_RNA from 1 species